UUGACGGGGGCCCGCACAAGCGGUGGAGCAUGUGGUUUUAAUUCGAAGCAACGCGCAGAACCUUACCAGCCCUUGACAUACCGGUCGCGGACACAGAGAUGUGUCUUUCAGUUCGGCUGGACCGGAUACAGGUGCUGCAUGGCUGUCGUCAGCUCGUGUCGUGAGAUGUUGGGUUAAGUCCCGCAACGAGCGCAACCCUCGCCCUUAGUUGCCAGCAUUUAGUUGGGCACUCUAAGGGGACUGCCGGUGAUAAGCCGAGAGGAAGGUGGGGAUGACGUCAAGUCCUCAUGGCCCUUACGGGCUGGGCUACACACGUGCUACAAUGGUGGUGACAGUGGGCAGCGAGCACGCGAGUGUGAGCUAAUCUCCAAAAGCCAUCUCAGUUCGGAUUGCACUCUGCAACUCGACUCCAUGAAGUUGGAAUCGCUAGUAAUCGCGCAUCAGCAUGGCGCGGUGAAUACGUUCCCGGGCCUU
rnacentral:rRNA from 1 species